rnacentral:lncRNA from 1 species
CAUGAUGCAGGAUCCCGCAGCCCUCGGCACUGAGCAGAAAGCAGGGCCUCGGGGCAGAUGAUCGCAGGAGACAUCUUCCCACAGAGGCUGAAGCUGAUUUGGGAAAAUAUGUGGUGUCGUAGCCCCCGUCCUGACCUCCCCACCAUCCUGUUGUGGAUGCUUGGUGCCAGUGCAGCCACCCAAGACUUCUGCAGCUCUCCAGGUGACCUCCCAGCUCCUGAGCUGAUCCUGAAUGUGAUCAGCGCUCAGGAGGGAGAACUGGUUUUGGCUCACUGCUCCAUGGGUGGGGAGUUUCCCGCUACCCAAAUCAUCUUCUGCAAGGAUGGGAUGGAGGUGUACAGCCUGAAAGCCGUACGGGGACAACUGAGUUACUCCGUUCCCCUGAAGGCCUCCCAGGAGAGCACGGGGAGGUACACGUGUGGGUACCAGCACAAGGAUGGGAGCAACCGGGUGAGAAGCUCUUCCCUCAGUGCUCCCCGGGACCUGGCAAUCGCAGGUGAGAUAUGGC